rnacentral:rRNA from 1 species
GACGAACGCUGGCGGUGUGCUUAACACAUGCAAGUCGAACGCUGACGCUUGGUGCUUGCACUGGUAGGGUGAGUGGCGAACGGGUGAGUAAUACGUGCGUAACCUGCUCUUGACUCUGGGAUAAGCCUGGGAAACUGCGUCUAAUACUGGAUACGACAUGUUACCGCAUGGUGCUGUGUGGCUAGGGUUUUUGUGGGUUUGGAUGGGCGGAGGGCUUAUGAGCUUGUUGGGGGGGUAAUGGCCCACCAAGGCGACGACGGGUAGCCGGCCUGAGAGGGUGAACGGCCACACGGGGACUGAGAGAGGGACCAGACGGGAACGGGGGACAGCAGGGGGGAGUAUUGCACAAUGGGCCGGAGUCUGAGGAGGAGACGCCGGGGGAGGGAAGACGGUCUGCGGGGUGUGAACCUCUGUAAGCACGGAAGAAGCGAAAGUGACGGUACGUGAAGAAGAAGCGCCGGCUAACUACGUG